CUAGGAUUAGAUACCCUAUUAUUUGAAAUGUAAAAACUAAAGUAUUAAUAGAUGUGGACUUUAAACUUAAAAAAUUUGGCGGUAUUUUAGUCUAUUCAGAGGAACCUGUUUUGUAAUCGAUAAUCCACGUUGAACCUUACUUUAAUUUAUAAAUUAGUUUAUAUACCGUCGUUAUAAAAAAUUUUAUAAGAAUAAUAAUUUUUAAAAUUAUAUAUCAGAUCAAGGUGUAGCUUAUAUUAAAGAAAAUAAUGGGUUACAAUAAAUUUAUUUAUAUGAAUAUAAAAAUGAAAAAUUUAUUGAAAGAGGAUUUGAAAGUAAAAUUAUAAAGAUUAAUGAUUUGAUUUUAGCUCUAAAAUAUGUACAUAUCGCCCGUCACUCUUAUUAUUAAAAUAAGAUAAG
rnacentral:rRNA from 1 species